CAGCAGCCGCGGUAAUACGUAGGUGGCAAGCGUUGUCCGGAAUUAUUGGGCGUAAAAGGCUCGCAGGCGGUUUCUUAAGUCUGAUGUGAAAGCCCCCGGCUCAACCGGGGAGGGUCAUUGGAAACUGGGAAACUUGAGUGCAGAAGAGGAGAGUGGAAUUCCACGUGUAGCGGUGAAAUGCGUAGAGAUGUGGAGGAACACCAGUGGCGAAGGCGACUCUCUGGUCUGUAACUGACGCUGAGGAGCGAAAGCGUGGGGAGCGAACAGGAUUAGAUACCCCAGUAGUCCCUGUCUCUUAUAA
rnacentral:rRNA from 1 species